CGGAAUAGGAGCCUGACGGACGCGUAUUGCUCGACAGUCGUCCGCGCGCAACACACACCGAGUAAAUUAUCACCACCUGUAACGACGAGCACAGCAACAAAAUGCGUAACGCAGUCAUACUUUUACUGGCCGCGUUUUCCGCGGUCGCCAGGGCGGCCAUCAUCAGGUCCGGCGGCAUCGAAUUGCCAACGUACACAGAUCCAUGCAAAAGAAAUGAUAAGGACUUCAGUGGUUGUGUGAAGAAAACUCUUCAAUACUUAAUCCCGAAAUUUAGCAAAGAGGGAAUUCCACAGUUGAACAUCACAUCUUUGGACCCAUUCUAUUUGAAUGAAUAUCUUAUGCAUUUCGAGUCUACACAAAUCGAAGGAAAAGCUCUAUUCAAAGAUGUUUACAACCAUGGUUUGGGAUCUAUAAAAAUCGUCGAUGUCAGAUCUGUCGUGGAAGACCCAGAACAGUUGGAAUUAGAAGUCGACUUUUAUAUGCCAAAAGUGAUAUCAAACGGAAAAUUCAAGGGUGAGGGAAGAAUUGGCCAGAUGCCAAUCAUGGGCAAAGGCGUAUUCAACGUGACUUCUUAUGAUGUUACCGGUUCGUGGAUGUUGAAAGGCAAUGCCGUUGAGUUGGAUGGACAACGUUACAUGCGCAUCAAGGACGUUGGCAUGAAAUUAGACAUUGGAGACAUGAAAAUAUACGCGACCAACAUGAUCAAUGGGAGUCCCGAAUUGAGCCAAAUGGCGUUAACCUUCGCUAACCAAUUUUGGCGAGUGAUAUUCCAAAUCAUGAUGCCGUACGCCGAAGAGGGUUUCGAGAAGAUCACAAGACCCAUUCUCAACCAAGUGUUCCUGGAGGUUCCUUAUGACCAGCUGUUCCCGCCCAGCCGCAAAUAAACCCUCCCAACAAAAUCAUAUUUCUCUUUGACUUACCUUAAGUUUUUCUCUGUGUUGUAGGACUGUAGUAUUUCUUACUAUAUUGUAGGUGUAAUAAGUUUUUAUUUUUAAUAAUAUUAUGAAACGCAUCACCUAAAACUGGAAUUGUAAACCAGUAUGAUAUCCGACCAAUGUUAUUUAUUAUUAAGAUUAAUAUAUUAUAUUUUGUUUUAAGCGACAUAAAUAAUUAAUUUAAUAACUAUAUAUUGUUAAGUAAACUAUGUUAAGACAUAA